ensembl:lncRNA
UGGCGCACUGAAAGGGGAGAUUCAUGUCACCUUCAUCAGUCCUUUCUUUAAUCACUGGACACCAUUAAGGGAAAGACCCUCAGACGUGUCAUAAUAGGAUAAAUGCGGCUGCAGUUUUUGACAGAUUGGACUAGUUAACUUACUUCAACAACUUCUGGGACAAGGCCUGGUGAGAGUCACUACAGAGGAUCAUAGCCAUUGUUGGAAUUCUGAAAGGAUGUGGGUGAAUAUCAAUCUGCCAAAUGAACAUUCACAUCUGUAUAUUAAUACUGAUUAUAUAUGAACUUGUUUGUUUGUAACUGGAAAGAACUUAGCCUCUAUUGUUUUUGACUGAAGGACUUGACCGUGUUUUAAGCCUAUGUGCAUUUUCUAUUACCAGUACCUGCUCUGGCCGUGCUCCAUUUUCCAUUGCAGAUCAUACCCAGAGAUAGUACCCCUCAAUGCUGCUGGUCAGCAUAGCAAGGCCACACACAACUGCCGGGACGUACUGUUCAAUGCGACACACACACCUGCGACCCACAUACAGCUGUCUCUUGAUUUAAGUUAAAACGUUUCAGCAUUACUCAGAAUGUAAAGACAGAUACUUAAAGGUGCUCUAAGCGAUGCCGGGAGUCGUAACUUCUUGUUGACGUUCGAAUUGUUGUCAAACAAAACAGAGGCUAGCUAGACCCUCCUUCCUCCUCAUCCGUGCACUAAGCCCCCCAAACCCCACCCCCAAAUCUUUCUUGUCGGUUAUUGGCUGUAACAGUUUGUUAUGUUUCGUGGUGCGGGUGUGCCCAGUUUGUUUUUCUUGUUGUUUGUGGAGCCUGUGGUGUCUAGAGAGACCGUGUUUUUUUACAGUGUGUUCAGGGGACAGGCAGCUAGCGGAUAGUGAGGAGAUGUUUGCAGGAUGUGACAAAAGAUGUUUUGGCCUAAAAAACGUGUGACAUCACUUAGAGCACCUUUAAUUAAUAUAACAUUUAAUUUAACUAAAACAAAUAUCAAAUACAUGUCUAAUACUUCAUCAACGCGUCAUACUCCUGGAAAAGACCCACAUAAAGCGCACAUUUUAAAAUGAUUAAUAUCCACAUCACUGCUGUAUUUUUCAGAUGUCAGAUCAAAUUGAGGGGAACAAGCCUGCAUCCCAAUGUGCACACUAUCCAUCCUAAAUAGUAUAUAAGAAAAUACAGUAUAUAUUUUUUGUACGAUAGUUGUUUUUAUAGAACAUCUCUGCAGUGAAUGUUUUUGUUUAAAUAAUUACAAGGAUAUGAAGUAGAUUAUUAUUUUAACGUUAUUACAUUGCAUUUCUAC